UAUAUGCGAACGGUAGCACACGAGAUUCAAAGUUGAAAAAUGAAAAUGGCUAAUUAAGAGUUUCAGCUGUAUAAGCAAAGUGCCCCAGUACUACAUAUUCAGGUGAGGAUUAUUAAUUUUAUGUGCUCACUAUGUGGGAAGUCGGCCAAAGUGCGAGCACAGUGGAACAAAAUAAACAUAGAAUGGUGAAAUGUGAAUAAGUGGAAUGCCAAUGCUGUAAAAGAUUUUGCCUGGAAACAUUUGCCGCCAGUUUCUUUUUGGUUGCUAUUUUUCAUUUUUUUUUUUUCAUUUUUGAAAAUAAACAAAUCGGACCGGUACUGGGACUGGGUCUGAUAUUUUAUUUGAAUUUGAUGGGGCGCAUGGUUUGUGUCUGCUGUUCAAAAUUUUCCUAUGCACCCAUGAGCUGCUCAAUUAAUUAAGUAUCGAUGAUAUCAGGUGCCCAAGCGCAAGCCCAACAUCGAUUAUCAAAGAUCACAAUGAUAAUCGGCAAGUUUCAUGAUAUGCUGCAGCAGCUGUCAGAAACGAGUCCCGAGUCAGGGAAAGAGACGACUUUAUGCACAUUGUAGCUGCUGUUGCUGUCACUUGACAUUAAGCGAUGCCCCAUUACCAUCCCGAUUCUUUGACACUGCACUUUGAGGAUGUCGAACUUGGCGCCGAAGGCAUUUUAGUUGCGGCUUUAAGGGGCGCCACAUCAAUCAUCGCAUUAAAGGCAGAUUCCAAAUUAAAAGCAAUUUCUGGUUAACGGAAUGAAGCAUCGAUUUCAAGCUUCGAAAACAUAUGCAUCACUGUGGGAACUCUUGAGAAAUCGGUUGAAAAGCAUUCCCAGCGGUCAUUUUCUAAGAAAUACAUGCAUAUAUUUAUAUAAUUAUAUUAUUCUGAUUCCUUAGUAAAAAUGUUGUAUUAAAUUCGUUUCCGGCGAAGCGGGACCUCAAUUGAAACUGUGAAGCCAAAUGCAAGAGAAGAAAAAAAAAUGCUUUUUGAAAUUUGAACUCGACCGAGGUUAUAAGACGACUAACUCGUUUGCUGCAACCCCCGAAGCGCCCAUUCGAUCUAUUCCGAGUCUGACCAGAAAGUGCAUUGAAUAUAACAAGCUGCGGACUGAUAUUCGCAUGCGGAAAAGCAUUCGCGAGACCUUCACAUGGUUUCAUUUAUUCUAAUAAUUGUCUUUUGUUUUUUAUGUGCAACAUUUAUUUUCAAGCACACUUUGGCUCUGGCCCGGGUGAGUCUGGCACUCUGUCAAUUAACCUCAAAGCUUUGCGUUGAUAAUAUAAGUUAUGGCUUUUUAAUCGCUAAAAAUUUGCAUGAACCAUAUGCUCACUGCGCGCAUGUGCGAGUGUGUUUGUGUGUGUGUGAGUAUUGCACUCGAACUUGUGCUCAUAUUUCAGUCUGUCUGUCGCCGUCAUUAGCUAGCCCUCUCUUAAGUUGCGGGGUGGUGCGAGGAGCAGUUGUUUUCCAUGACUUGAAGUGCAAGUUUAAAUUGAAGUGGAAGUCGAUGCCUUAAUUAUACCCUUGCCCGGGUAAUGCGACUUUCUUAUCAAGUGUGUAACGUGUCUCCUUCGAUAGAUAACUAUGCUGCGUUGUGAGUCAGUUUCGGUGCAAAAGAAUCUCAUGGAUUUGAAGCUAUCAAGAUUAAACCAUUCAGUUCAUUUGUCGAAUAUCGAUUAGGGUUCAGAGAUAAUUUGUCUCAAAAGGAGUUCUUCUAGUUCAUGUGCAAGGGUAUUUAACAUUCGGCCUUGCAAAGGCUACUGCUAUUUCUUGUUCAUUCAGAAAACAACGGCGCAAGAAACUGCGAAUUGUUCUGGGUGCUGCGUACUCGUAUAAAUAAUUCAUUAGGGCGCUACGAGUCCGCUUUGUAAUUCUCUGACUGUCUGUCUGGCUGUAUGUCUGUCUGUCUGUCUGUCUGUCUGUCUGUCCGUCUGUCCGUCUGUCUGUCCGUCUAUCUGUCAGAUACGUCAAGCCCAAUUGGCUGUGGCUUGCCGGCUGAUGCACGUCAGUGACCUGCGAGACAACUGCAGUCGGCGUUAUAAAUUUGGUGAAUUUGAUUUUUGUCUUUGUCUCGUUUUGCGUUUCACUGGUUUCUUCUUAUUGUACUCGAACGAACCGUCAAACGGGACACAUGAGUCCAACCACCAACCAGACUUAUGAAUACUCGUGCACCAGCACUUCACCAUACAAAUAUUUUGUGUACGUAUGUAUAUUUGAUGUCUAUAUACAUAUGUAUAUCAAUAAUUUUGGCAGGUCAGUGCACUUUGCGCAACGCGACAAUUAUUUAUUGUUUUAAAUUGGGAUUGGGAAUGUACGAAGUGUUGCCCAAUAUCAGGCGUAUAAUUAGACAAAGCGAGCAAUUAAAGCGCGCUCUAAUCACAUUAACCACGGCUCAUUUGGGUCGCCAUGCGAUACGCUUAGGUUCGAGAUCGAGUUCGUGAUCAUGCUCGGGGUCUCAUAUGUUGUAUUUGCUAUUUGCAUAGGCAAGAUCUGGCGUUGAAUUGUUGUUGUGGUUGUUGUUGUUUUAAUAUGGGUACCGUUGCCACCCAGAUCGGUCAGCAUCAUUAAUCUUAAUGAUACGAAAGUUGCGACUGAUUAAUUUGUUCGAUAAUUAAAAUUGAUUGGCCUCUGGCAGGCCGGAGAGAGAACAGUUCGCACUGGACGAGACGUUAUUCACAGUAUCACGCAUAAUAAAUGAUCUUCACAAAAGGCAAAAAAAAAAGGCAAGUGAAAACAAAAAACUGUAAUGAGAAACAACAAAUAAACGGAAGCAACAAAUGGUCAGGGAAGGAAGCUCAAGCUCAAUCUAAAUGAGUGCGGCGCAAUGAAUAAAAAAGGAAAACAAUCCAAAUAAAAACAACAAACCAAAAAUGAAAUUUAUGAAACACACCGCACAUUGCAUACCCUAAAACACGAUUCCAGGAAAUCCCAUGCAAAAAAAUCGAACCAUAUCUAACUUUAGCUUGUUGUGGGCGUCCGUCUUGUCACGAGCACGAGGCAAGCAUUCCGCCUGUUACAAACUGCAUGUCAUAGGUAAUAUGCACUUCCUCAAUGAGUUAACAUAAGAUGUGAACAUGAGCCGUUCAACUAAAACGGGUAGUACAAAUGUUAUAUAAAUGUUAUGAGAAUUUUUCGCGUGCUUAGCUGUCACGCAAUUUCCGGCACGUUUUUGCAUAUAUGAAAACAAAAGCGAAGACAACAAUAACAAAAAGCAUUGAGCGUGUUAUUAUGACAAGUAUAUUAACAGUUCAUUUGUUGUUAUUAUUUCCAGUCCAGGCAACAUUUUAUAUGUAAAAUAUUUUGUUGAGUCCAAAAGCUAGCCAGGAUCAAAGUAGGUUCUAAUAGCUAUACAGCUUUUUAUAUAUUUUCAAAAUUAUUAUUCCCUCCCACUUAAUUCUAACCAGACAUUGCUUGUUAUUUAUUUAUGGUUCAAAAAUUUGUCAGCAUAAGCUUCCUAAAUUUGAGUUGAUCUAUUUUUAUACUCUGAGUCCAUUAAAAACAGCAGAGAAGGGUAUGACGGUUUUGUGCAAUCGUUUGCUCCACGCCCAAAAAGCCAUCUCCGAAGCCACAAGGCAUCUGCGAAUUGUAAAAAAAAAGAAAAUGUGAAAAAUCUGAAAAUAAGUGCUCGUUAUAAGGCGCCAAGGGCGCCACGAUCUUGACCAUAGACGAAUCACAGAAUCGCGAUUGUUUGUUUACGUUGGACAGCAGCAUUGGACAUCCACCGAGACCCAGUGGGUCCCCAACGGUCCCAGUGCGCGUGCCGUGACAUAAUCCAAAUGCGUGUCUGUCCCUGAGCCUGGAACUGGCGCGUGUAGCUGUCGGCCAUAGAGGCUGGGAGGGUGUGCCGGCGUCUUGGCUCAUUGGACGCUGCGCCUCAGCGAAUGCUUCCUAUGAAUUUAUGGGUUCCCAUAAAAACGGAACGCCUGGGCGACUGGGCGUAUUUUCCGAAUACUUGCCGACAUCUAAUUUUGUCGAUUGUUGUUGUUGUUGUUGUUGUUGUUGUUGUUAUUUGGCGUUAAUUGCCAAACGGCUGUGACAAGUCUCGUGCCGCAGCCAGGCCUCGUCGCCGCACCCCCAACCGCAAAUAUCGAAGAAAGAACAGCUAAAGUCCGAAUGUGGUAUGUGAUGUGGGUGCGUUGAUCUCAGCAUUUAUUUGAGAGUCUGUGAGUUCAUCUAGAUCUUCUAGGAAGUCUUUAUGCAAUUUAUUAUGCAAACGGUCUGGCCAUAAUUCUCACCCAUUAUUAUUUCAACUUUAAUUAAUUCAAAUUUAUGUCAUUUUCCAUUGAAUGUGUGUCAUACGUAUGGUUAUUUAAUUUAUGGGAUGUUUCACAAGUAGAACGGGUUUUGUGCAUUUUACGGAAAUUUUUGAUGAUAUUCAGAUUUUUAAAACUGAUCAAGAAUAACCUAAAAAAUGUACUUUCCAUUCGAUUGUGCGCUCGAACCGGUCCCUUGUGCUGAUGAACGCUCCAAAUAAGAUUUGAGCAACAAUAACAACAAUAUCAUCAAAGUUGAGGCUCAUUUUUACGAUUUCCUAAUUAUGAGCAUAAUAAAAUCAUAAUUAAACAAUAAAAACAAGUUGCUUUAAUGCCAAACCACUUGCACACAAUUUCAAAACAAGGCAAUAAUUUCUAUGCUGCGCACUCGGGAGCAUAAAUUUUAUAACACAUUUUACAAGACAUUAAAAUUUAGCGGCUGGCAAAUUUUAUUGCACGCCAAUUGAGGUCACCGAAUAGGAAAAUGAAAAAAAAAAAAAAACGACUUGCAAACGCAGCCAAGAGAAGGCGAUUUUCCAUUAACGCCAUGUCCAUAUAUAUCCAGAGGCUGCUCAUCCAAAGUCAGACGCUUAAAGAAAAUACCCUAUAUGGACUUGGCACUUUAAUUACCUCAACAACAGCUGUUGCCUGUGCUGGCUUUAGCCUAGUGGCGGACAUCUUGAGGUUUACCGAUCACUGAUCACUGAUCACUUUGUUUUUCUUCUCAUUUACUGUUAGCUGUUGGGCUAUUUGCACUGCAUGUUUCACUGUAAUCUCCGGCAAUGAUUAUGAUUAAACACUCGAUAGCUGCGCAGACGCAACGCCAACAUGCAAUUCGCGCUUGGCCGCAAUGCAAACAAUGCCCGGAGCCAACACAGCAGCACUCUGCACGCCAGCAAUAUACACGGCAGCAACCAACGCGCCCGACAGCAACACACGCAAUUCAAUCGCGGUCCAGAAAGGACAGAGAGAAAGGGGCACACGAGAUGCUGUUGCUGUGCUUGAACCCUCGCCAAGUUCACUAAACUGUUUCACUGGUACCGAAUGCUGGCCAGGCACAACUGGGGACAACGCCUGCGCAUGCGCCGCUGCCAAUUUGCAAUUUGUAAGACGUUUAAGCUGUGCUUUGGCAAUUUGCGAGCCAAGCCUUGGCGCAGUUGGUUUACGGGCAAUGCCAAUGAAUCCUUCCUUUAUUUAUCUGCUGUUCUUCUCUUUUCUUUUUGUUUUGCUAUCCGCGUGGGUGUGUUCAUGUAUCCUUGUGUGUGCGUAUUGUCGCGCACUCGCAUCGACCGUAUGUAGCAAGAGGCUCUACAUGCCGCGAGUAACUGAAUUAUCACUUGAUCACACUUCCCAUGCGCAGCCUAACACAGGCUUAAGAAGAAAACGUUUAUGCCACACGACUGCAAGAACACAAAUGUUGCAAGUGUUUGGCCGCAAAUGGCAACGACAACGACAACGACAACAGCAACAGCAACAUUAACAGCAAGAGCAACAGCAACACUAAAGAAAAGAAAGGGCGCAGCCUCGGUCUCUGCUCUCGAUUAGUUGGCCUGCGCGUUGGCGUUGCUAUCUUGACUGCUUAAGGCAGAUAAAUUGUCUCUCAGCCAAUGCCGUUGGUGCUGCUGCCGCUGCUGCUGCUGAUGCUGAUGCUGCUGAUGCUGAUGCUGCUGAUGGUGAUGCUGCCUCAGUCGAGCAUCUGACGCCUGUCGCGCUUGUUUUGGCACUCAGCAGCAAUCAUUUUAGUUGUUGCUUUUUUAUGUAAAACGAACAUUUGCUAAUGAAUUAUUAUUACAAUUUAAUGAAAAAUGAGUUUGGGCAACUUUAGCUGUAUCUGUAGAUGUAGCUAUCCAUCUUUCAACGGAUUGGGCAACUCUCGUAAACAAACGCCGAUGGUUGUGUGUCUCUUGGUGCUCUUGCAGCUGAUCUUAAUUACAACAACUGUUCGCAUACGACUGAAAAAAAAUAUAAAUAUAUAAGAAACAAAUAAAACUGAUCACGUAUACCCUCCAUCAAAUUGAAGGUUAGGUGGCGAUCUUAAGGGCAUGCAGAACGGGGAGCCCGCUAAACGGGAUUCUCGAUCUUUGCUUAUUUUAAGAAUUUCUUUGAUAUGCAAACGAGCUAUUUAGUGCCAGAUUAAACCCUUCUUAUAAAAAGGGCACACAUGGAUACUUAUUAACGCUUCAUUAAGUUCUUGUAGCGCCCACCAACAAAACUAAGGCGACAGCCAAGAAUUGGUAGAAGCAGAAAACGAAAAGAAAGAGACGUAAAUAUUCUGGCAAAAGUAUCGUAUGUAAAACUGGUUUUCGUUCCCCCUCGUUUUGUUGAAGAGCUCUACGAUAAGAUUUGGGCUUGGAUCGCACAUGCCGGCCAGCAAUCACAGCAGAUAAGAUCUAAGUUAAUUGAGCCGGUCAAGUGUGCCCUACACGCACAUAUUUUGGACAUAUAUGAGCCGGAACUGCUCGGGCUGAGUUGCCAAAAAGAACGAGUGAUUAAAUUGAAAUUGAUAAUUAGAUAAACAAUUGGUACAUUAAAUUUAAGUAGCGAAAGGAUCGGAUAAGCGUAAUUAACUAAUAAUGAGAUCAUUUAAAUACUCAUUAAAAUACAGCGAAAAACAAAACCGAUUUAACUUAUACUCUUGACGUGCAGGGUAUCUGGAGACUGGCAUUUCGGCAGAUAUACGAAAAGCAAAGUUGCUGAUGAAUAUCUCGAUAAUAUUUCUCAUGAUUGAGGCCCAAAAGAAAUCAACAACAUUAUAAACCAUCAAAAUUAAUACAUUUUUCGUAUUAUUUUAUUACGCACCAAAAACAAAAAGCAGGCACACAAAAACAAUGCCAAUACCCCUUAAGCGUGCCCUCCAUCCUCAACACCCCCUUCCCAACCCGGCAAUACAGAAAAUAAAAAUUAAAUGAAAUGAAACGAAACAAAGACAAAGUUCAUGGCAAUGCGAGUGGCUCAUAUAAAGCCGAGUCUUGGGCCGGUUGGUCGCUCGCCUGGGCGCUUUUCAAUCCAUCAAAAGAGAUUAUAUUCAUUAACUAGGCAGGCAGCCAGCAACAAGACUCGGACUCGGACUCUGACUCGGAUUGGAAUUGAAGCUGCGACUGGAACUGGAACUGGGACUGGGACUGGGACCGGGACCGGGCAUGCUCGGGCGUUGAUUUUGAUGGCCACUGUACUGCUGGAAUUUCUUAAUUUUUUUGACAGUUCUCAUCAAAAUGUGUUGAAAUUGCUAUUAUUAUGAGGUUGUUGUUGUUGUUGUUGUUGUUUUUGCUUCUAUUGUUAUUGGGCGCAAAUUUACAAGAAUCAUCUAGCAGAUCGCAUCUAGUGGCAGCAUGACGUACCACAAUUCCGUAUGUUUAAGAUCUGUGAACUCCAUUAAAAAACCGUUUCAUAUCUUUGGCAAUUUGACGCCAUCAAAA